rnacentral:sRNA from 1 species
CUGCUGCGGGCAAAUGAAGUGAAUGUGUGCGUCUAUGCCUCCGGCGGUGAGUAUCGCCCCCUCAGCCGCGAUCACUUCUGUGCCCGGGCCUAUCACUAUGUCAAUGCCAUCUUGAAUAUCUGGAUUGCCGGCGCGGCCGAUGGUGGCAAUGCGGCCCUCUUUAAGUCCGACAUCGGCUUUUACUAUGCCCCAAUGAUCGAGGAUCAAUGCAUUAGUGAUCACGGUAUCGACUGCUAUGUCAUUAGUGACCUGACUUUGGCCCAUGCCAUCGCG